rnacentral:tRNA from 1 species
CAGAGAAUAGUUUAAUUAAAAUAUUAAUUUUGGGGAUUAGUGAUAGAAUAAUGAUGUUCUUUCUCUGA